rnacentral:rRNA from 1 species
UACGGAGGGUGCAAGCGUUGUUCGGAUUUAUUGGGCGUAAAGCGCGUGUAGGCGGUCUCUUAAGUCUGAUGUGAAAGCCCUGGGCUCAACCCAGGAAGUGCAUUGGAUACUGGGGGACUUGAAUACGGGAGAGGGUAGUGGAAUUCCUAGUGUAGGAGUGAAAUCCGUAGAUAUUAGGAGGAACACCGGUGGCGAAGGCGGCUGCCUGGAUCGAUAUUGACGCUGGGACGCGAAAGCGUGGGGAGCAAACAGG